rnacentral:rRNA from 1 species
AACGAACGCUGGCGGCAUGCCUAACACAUGCAAGUCGAACGAGACCUUCGGGUCUAGUGGCGCACGGGUGCGUAACGCGUGGGAACCUGCCCUUAUGGUCGGCAUAACUCCCCGACAGGGGUGCUAAUACCGGAUAAUGUCUUCUGACCAAAGAUUUAUCGCCUUUGGAUGGGCCCGCGUUGGAUUAGCUAGUUGGUAGGGUAAAAGCCUACCAGGGCGACCAUCCAUAGCUGGGCUGAGAGGCUGAUCAGCCACACUGGGACUGAGAAGCGGCCCAGACUCCUACGGGAGGCAGCAGUGGGGAAUAGUGCACAAUCGGCGGAAGCCUGAUCCAGCAAUGCCGCGUGAGUGAUGAAGGCCGUAGAGUUGUAAAGCUCUUUUACCCGGGAUGAUAAUGACAGUACCGGGAGAAUAAGCUCCGGCUAACUCCGUG